GGAGUUUCAUGAGUAAAU
rnacentral:snRNA from 1 species